rfam:Heterocephalus glaber contig219185, whole genome shotgun sequence.
CUGGCAACAUGAUGGCCUGCCUGCAAACCAGCAUGCUGGUGGGGCAGACCUGAGAAUGCGUG